UACGGAGGGUGCAAACGUUGCUCGGAAUCAUUGGGCGUAAAGGGCUCGUAGGUGGCCAACUAAGUCAGACGUGAAAUCCCUCGGCUUAACCGGGGAACUGCGUCUGAUACUGGAUGGCUUGAGGUUGGGAGAGGAGACUGGAAUUUACGGUGUAGCGGUGAAAUGCGUAGAUAUCUGGAGGAACACCGGUGGCGAAGGCGGCGUCCUGGACCAACACUGACACUGAGGAGCGAAAGCCAGGGGAGCAAACGGG
rnacentral:rRNA from 1 species